AUUGAACGCUGGCGGCAUGCUUUACACAUGCAAGUCGAACGGUAACAGGCCGCAAGGUGCUGACGAGUGGCGAACGGGUGAGUAAUGCAUCGGAACGUGCCCAGUCGUGGGGGAUAACGCAGCGAAAGCUGCGCUAAUACCGCAUACGAUCUAUGGAUGAAAGCGGGGGACCGUAAGGCCUCGCGCGAUUGGAGCGGCCGAUGUCAGAUUAGGUAGUUGGUGAGGUAAAGGCUCACCAAGCCAACGAUCUGUAGCUGGUCUGAGAGGACGACCAGCCACACUGGGACUGAGACACGGCCCAGACUCCUACGGGAGGCAGCAGUGGGGAAUUUUGGACAAUGGGCGCAAGCCUGAUCCAGCAAUGCCGCGUGCAGGAAGAAGGCCUUCGGGUUGUAAACUGCUUUUGUACGGAACGAAACGGUCCGGGCUAAUACCCUGGGCUAAUGACGGUACCGUAAGAAUAAGCACCGGCUAACUACGUGCCAGCAGCCGCGGUAAUAC
rnacentral:rRNA from 1 species